GCAGUCGAGCGGUACACAGAGAGCUUGCUCUCGGGUGACGAGCGGCGGACGGGUGAGUAAUGUCUGGGAAACUGCCUGAUGGAGGGGGAUAACUACUGGAAACGGUAGCUAAUACCGCAUAACGUCGCAAGACCAAAGUGGGGGACCUUUCGGGCCCUCAUGCCAUCAGAUGGUGCCCCAGAUGGGGAUUUAGCUAGUAGGGGGGGGUUAAUGGCUCACCUAGGGCGACGAUCCCUAGCUGGUCUAAAAAGGAUGAACCACCCCCCCCUGGAAACUGAAACACGGCCCCAAACUCCUACGGGGAGGCACCAGGGGGGAAAAUUUCCCCAAUGGGGCGCAGCCUGAUGCACCCUUCCCCCCGUUUUAAAAAAGGCCUUCGGGUUUGAAAGAAUUUUCCCGGGGGGGAAAGGG
rnacentral:rRNA from 1 species